rnacentral:misc_RNA from 1 species
AGCAAAGUAUGCUUCGUAUGGAUUGCCGGAUCGGGAUUAUCGUCGCUAAUAGUAAUUAUUUGUUUUCAGAUUUUCAUUCGGAGUGGUGUAAUGCACGCACGGCUGUUGAUUUUCAUUUUAAUUGCCUGAGCUGGUUCCUGAGCCGUCACAGAUAGCAGGAUGCCGUGUGAAGCAUCUUGACCUGACAGGAAGGUUUUCCGGUUAUGACUGAGGCCGGCAUCUUACCUGCUCUGGCUACGCCAAUGCCGAGGACCGGAGAGCCAACCCCUUUGAGGCGUGAGCUCUGUGGCGUGGCUCGAGUGAUCAUCAGCUUCUGACGGCUACGGCGCCGUCAACCUGGUUGAAUAGCUGAGGCCUGGGCGAGGGUGCCCUCAGUACGGUGACCAAUCGGUUACGUCCGAGGGGCGCUCGAACACGCUGCCGCCGCGUGGCUGCCGGCGGCCGCCCCCUUCGCACGUGAAGCUCCUGGAGCGGGAAAUGCGAGAGGCGGCCGCAUUAUCACCUGGUGUCCGCGCUCGACACCGUGCCACGCACCAAUGGCGGAAGCCCGACUUUCUCCGAUGGAGGAGAGAAGCUGGACGCUGGCUGCCAGGCUGCUGGGGGAGGGCGCUGGCUCUGCCACCAGGGGACCUCCUGCGCGCGACCGCCGAGGCCUCGGCGCCAGCGAAUCCCACGGUGGCAACAGACGGCUGGCGUCACCUUCCGGUUGGACGUGUGCCUGAUCCGGGCUGGGGGCUAAGGAGGCGGAAAGGGAAAGCGUGGCUACGCUGCACCUCGCGUCCCUGCCGCUGUGUGCUGUCCGGCUUUGGACGGACGGACUUGCGGAGGGCGGAGUCUUCAGGGGCUGGGUGGGAGCCGUGCUGGUCUGGCCGGACGAAGAGGCCGAGGAACUGCAGGCCCCGAUCGGACAGCUGUGCUAUAGCUACCGCGCGGAGAUGGUGGCGCUGGUGACCGGUCCGGAGACCCUACUCGGAAGAGACAGAGACCAGGACCUGCGGUCCGUAUCUAACUAUUUGCUAACUGUGCGGUGGUGCUGGUGUAGUGCAGCAUCUUUGAAUGAAUAGUUGCAUUUCGCGAUUAAAUAGCUGUUAUUUUUCAGCGUGGGUGGCGUGACGAACAAUGUGGCAUCUGUUAGUCACUUCUGCGGCCGCCAGUAUUCCCUACUCGAAGGCGGGCGCGCUGUUUGGCUUGGCCCGCCAGGAUGUUCCCAUUAUGUGUCUAGGACAGAGCGGAUAUAUUCAUGUUCAUUUAAUGCACAAAGAUCUGUUACAUAUUUGUUUGAAGUUUUAUUUUAAGUUGACGAUUGCGUAGGGCAGAUUCAUCUUCUCUAUUUCAUUUCUUUUUCAUAUUUGUUAUAAGUGUCCUAGUCCGGCUUGGUUGUCAUCUGUA